rnacentral:rRNA from 1 species
UACGUAGGUGGCAAGCGUUGUCCGGAAUUAUUGGGCGUAAAGCGCGCGCAGGCGGUCCUUUAAGUCUGAUGUGAAAGCCCACGGCUCAACCGUGGAGGGUCAUUGGAAACUGGGGGACUUGAGUGCAGAAGAGGAAGCGGAAUUCCACGUGUAGCGGUGAAAUGCGUAGAGAUGUGGAGGAACACCAGUGGCGAAGGCGGCUUUCUGGUCUGUAACUGACGCUGAGGCGCGAAAGCGUGGGGAGCAACAGG